CCCGCGAUUGGUGAUCCGCUCGUUCCGCUUCCGCAUAAUCCGCUUCAUAGGACCGCACCCUCAGUCUGCGUUCGAAAAUAGCUUUAGCUGGUGUUGGGGAAAAAAGAUUAAGUUGGUAAUAUUGAGAAUUCCCAACGCUGUGUUCGUUUUCUCCUAGCUGGAAGUAGUUGGAGAUCGAUCCAAUAGGUGCAUUUAGUGCAAAUGACAACAAAAUAUCUUUGGUCUGUUCUUUCUAGCUGCACUGUUGCACUGGUGCAAUAAGUUAGAAUGAGAAAAAAUAUACUUGUCUUACUUUAACUUAUUGCACCGGUGCAACAGUGCAGCUAGAAAGAACAGACCACUUAACAAGCGGUAACGUACGCACGUGUUUUAUAUAACUUAUACCUACGAUUGUUGAAAUUUAGCAAAUUCAAGUGUUAUAGGUAAGAUAUUAUAAACACUAUCAAGAGAAAAUAAAUGAACCAGGAAUACACCACACAGCCUCAAUACCUUCCUGCACACGAGCACAUUGUCAAUCUUUGGCUCUCAAUAUCUCGGAAUCUGGCCAUUUUUGGGUCCUGUGCCUGUGGAAUCUUUUGAUCAGAAAACCAUAAAAAUGACAUACAAAUUUUGAACAAAAUUGACUGGGAUCUAUUUGAUUUGUGCGGGUUUUCACUGUUGCUUCCUCUGAGUUUCUCAACAAUUCAUCAAAUUGUUUUUCUAAAAGAGCUAUACGGAGAACCGCAGCGUUCAAACGAGUCGGGUGCUCGUUAAAGGGAGAUAACUUCUUGAACAUGUCUCGAGUCCACCAACCAAUCUAUCGCGAAUUGACGAUCGGCGGACGUAGGGUCUCCUCCUCGAGAAAUAUUGCUACCUUACUUCAGCGAACACCCGAACACACACAUGCUAAGCCCUUAUGCUAAUGGGUUCUCCAUCCUCUCUCCGCCAGGACACUCUCGGAGUUGGAUGUCCUGUCGCGCGACAGCUCAAGGUCGCGUUGUCACCCUCUGCCACUGCCAGAUCAGCGCUGGUGUCACCACCAUAAACGAUGUCAGGUGGCACUGUAAGACAAAUAUAUCAUUAAUAAAUUAA
rnacentral:lncRNA from 1 species